CAUUGCUUUCGGUAUGAUCCUUUCUUUUUCUUCUCAUUUUCCUUUGACAGCUUAAACAGUUAUCUCUGUUGAUAGUGGCUCACGAAAGUUUGAAGAUGAUGUUUAGUUAUGUUAUUUUAGAAGGGUUCUACGAUUGCCAAUGUCUUCUAUGAAAAAUGAAGUAAACCGUAUCCCCAUCAAUUUAGGUGUUUAGUUAUGAUCGUAAAUUAUUUAGUAAAUGAAUAUACUAUCAUAAAUGUUGUAUGAUAUUUUCAGCAAACAUCGAAUUUUGGGCGGUAAGCUUGUUUAAAAUUUUAAAGACUCUUAAAUCUGAAAUAAUUCAUCAAAAUUUUUGAAUUGAUAUUUGCUUGAUUAAGUCUCUCCAGAAUUUACUAUGUAUUCUCACCGUAUUUUUAAGAUCAUGAAAGGUUAUAGAUUGAAUAGUUGAUUUUAGGUGGUACAACUCUUAUAAGAUGUGUUGUUCAUACGAUAUAUUGCUAUUCAAUCCAAUUUCGUGUGCAUUAAGUUAGGUUAUAUAAACUAAUGUUUCAUACGUUUGCAUCUUAUUCAUGCAUCAUUGUCUUGGAUGGUAUCUCUUCCAAGCUUUGUACUUCUUCACGAAACGAUGGAGUCACACCAUCUCUGCAAAGCUCUGCAAAAUUUAAGAACUACAAAGGAAGGGAAUCCGAGUAGAUUCAGAAAGAUGGAGGAAUUGCAAUAUGAGAAUAGGGAGUGAUUAAAUAAAGGUGGUUGAGAUUGUUGAUGUGACCAAGUUGAUGGAAUUCACACACUUUCUAAAAAACUGUCGAGCAUGGUUAAGUCUUGUCAAUGCCAAGAUUAUGGAAAUGUGUGGAUAUAGGUCUCACAAGGAAAUGUGAGAUCUAAAGUAGGAAUGUGUCUACUCGUUAUUAACAGUAAGUUCUUCUAA